CAUUCACACAGACCAUGAGUC
rnacentral:siRNA from 1 species